rnacentral:rRNA from 1 species
AUACGGAGGGGGCUAGCGUUGUUCGGAAUUACUGGGCGUAAAGCGCGCGUAGGCGGCUUAUCAAGUUAGGCGUGAAAGGCCUGGGCUCAACCCGGGAAUUGCGCUUAAUACUGGUAGACUUGAGUCCGGGAGAGGGUGGUGGAAUUCCCAGUGUAGAGGUGAAAUUCGUAGAUAUUGGGAAGAACACCAGUGGCGAAGGCGGCCACCUGGCCCGGUACUGACGCUGAGGUGCGAAAGCGUGGGGAGCAAACAGGAUUAGAAACCCGUGUAGUCC